CUACGGGGUGCUCCAGUGAGGAAUAUUGCACAAUAGGGGGAACCCUGAUGCAGCAGCGCCGCGUGGAGGAUGACGCAUUUCGGUGUGUAAACUCCUUUUAUAUGUCAAGAAAAUGACGGUAGCAUAUGAAUAAGCACCGGCUAACUCCGUGCCAGCAGCCGCGGUAAUACGGAGGGUGCAAGCGUUACUCGGAAUCACUGGGCGUAAAGGACGCGUAGGCGGGUUGGAAAGUCAGGUGUGAAAUCCUACAGCUUAACUGUAGAACUGCACUUGAAACUUCUAAUCUAGAGUAUGGGAGGGGGAGAUGGAAUUAGUGGUGUAGGGGUAAAAUCCGUAGAUAUCACUAGGAAUACCUAAAGCGAAGGCGAUCUCCUGGAACAUUACUGACGCUAAGGCGUGAAAGCGUGGGGAGCAAACAGGAUUAGAUACCAUGGUAGUC
rnacentral:rRNA from 1 species